rnacentral:rRNA from 1 species
UACAGAGGGUGCAAGCGUUAAUCGGAAUUACUGGGCGUAAAGGGCGCGUAGGCGGAUAGAUAAGUUAGAUGUGAAAUGUCUGGGCUUAACCUAGAAAUUGCAUUUAAUACUGUUUGUCUAGAGUAGAGUAGAGGGAAGUGGAAUUUCCGGUGUAGCGGUGAAAUGCGUAGAUAUCGGAAAGAACACCAGUGGCGAAGGCGACUUCCUGGACUCAAACUGACGCUGAGGCGCGAAAGCAUGGGUAGCAAACAGG